rnacentral:rRNA from 1 species
GAUGAACGCUGGCGGCGUGCCUAAUACAUGCAAGUCGAGCGAACAGACAAGGAGCUUGCUCCUCUGACGUUAGCGGCGGACGGGUGAGUAACACGUGGAUAACCUACCUAUAAGACUGGGAUAACUUCGGGAAACCGGAGCUAAUACCGGAUAAUAUAUUGAACCGCAUGGUUCAAUAGUGAAAGACGGUUUUGCUGUCACUUAAAGAUGGAUCCGCGCCGCAUUAGCUAGUUGGUAAGGUAACGGCUUACCAAGGCAACGAUGCGUAGCCGACCUGAGAGGGUGAUCGGCCACACUGGAACUGAGACACGGUCCAGACUCCUACGGGAGGCAGCAGUAGGGAAUCUUCCGCAAUGGGCGAAAGCCUGACGGAGCAACGCCGCGUGAGUGAUGAAGGUCUUCGGAUCGUAAAACUCUGUUAUUAGGGAAGAACAAAUGUGUAAGUAACUAUGCACGUCUUGACGGUACCUAAUCAGAAAGCCACGGCUAACUACGUG